GAUGAACGCUGGCGGCGUGCCUAAUACAUGCAAGUCGAGCGAAUGGAUUAAGAGCAUGCUCUUAUGAAGUUAGCGGCGGACGGGUGAGUAACACGUGGGUAACCUGCCCAUAAGACUGGGAUAACUCCGGGAAACCGGGGCUAAUACCGGAUAACAUUUUGAACCGCAUGGUUCGAAAUUGAAAGGCGGCUUCGGCUGUCACUUAUGGAUGGACCCGGGUCGCAUUAGCUAGUUGGUGAGGUAACGGCUCACCAAGGCAACGAUGCGUAGCCGACCGGAGAGGGUGAUCGGCCACACUGGGACUGAGACACGGCCCAGACUCCUACGGGAGGCAGCAGUAGGGAAUCUUCCGCAAUGGACGAAAGUCUGACGGAGCAACGCCGCGUGAGUGAUGAAGGCUUUCGGGUCGUAAAACUCUGUUGUUUGGGAAGAACAAGUGCUAGUUGAAUAAGCUGACACCUUGACGGUACCUAACCAGAAAGCCACGGCUAACUACGUGCCAGCCGCCGCCGUAA
rnacentral:rRNA from 1 species